rnacentral:tmRNA from 1 species
GGGGCUGAAGCAUUUUUAGCAUCUAGACGGAUAGAACUUUAACAGAUUGAGUGUAUGCAUGUCGGGUGUGCUCACCGUUACAGGGCAAGACAACUUAACUGCAAACAGUAAAGUUAGCGAAGUCGCUGCAAGAAUCCGCGAGAAUAUCGCAAUUCUUAAAGCUGAUUACGCACUAGCAGCCUAAAUUUUAGGCUUGCCAUCUUAUUCUCUUUUGCCAGGCUUUCGAGAGUUUAAGAUGUCAUAUUAUUUCUGGCUCGAUCUUGAUCGAAGAGUAACGCUUCUUACAUUAAGAUUUAAACUUUGAAAAGCGUCGUUUAUUUUAGAUUUUUCUUUUUUCUUUAGCUUCUUUAAACGUAAAAAAUAAGAAAAAAUAAGCAUGUUGAAAAGUAUUCAAUCAGUUAACUAAUCGGACGCGGGGGCAGUUCCCGCCAGCUCCACCA